rnacentral:rRNA from 1 species
GACGAACGCUGGCGGCGUGCUUAACACAUGCAAGUCGAACGGAAAGGCCCUGCUUGCAGGGUACUCGAGUGGCGAACGGGUGAGUAACACGUGGGUGAUCUGCCCCGCACUUCGGGGUAUGCUUGGGAAACUGGGUCUCAUACCGGAUAUGACCGCUCUUUAGGGUGGGUGGUGGAUAGUUUUUUUGGUGUAGGAUGAGUUCGCGGCCUAUCAGCUUGCUGGUGGGGUAAUUGCCUACCAAGGCGGCGACUGGUAGCCGGCCGGAGUGGGUGUACGGCCACAUUGGGGAUGAGGUACGGCCCAGACUCCUACGGGGGGCAAGAGUGGGGAAUUUUGCACAAUGGGCGCAAGCCUGAUGCAGCGACGCCGCGUGGGGGAUGAAGGCCUUCGGGUUGUAAACUCCUUUCGCUAGGGACGAAGCUUUUUGUGACGGUACCUAGUUAAGAAGCACCGGCUAACUACGUG